rnacentral:rRNA from 1 species
CCUACGGGGGGCAGCAGUGGGGAAUAUUGCACAAUGGGGGAAACCCUGAUGCAGCGACGCCGCGUGAGUGAAGAAGUAUCUCGGUAUGUAAAGCUCUAUCAGCAGGGAAGAAAAUGACGGUACCUGAUUAAGAAGCCCCGGCUAACUACGUGCCAGCAGCCGCGGUACCACGUCGGGGGCAAGCGUUAUCCGGAUUUACUGGGUGUAAAGGGAGCGUAGACGGCAGGACAAGUCUGGAGUGAAAUGCCGGGGCUUAACCCCGGAAGUGCUUUGGAAACUGUGCAGCUAGAGUGCAGGCGAGGUAGGUGGAAUGCGUGGUGUAGCGGUGAAAUGCGUAGAUAUUAGGAGGAACACCGGUGGCGAAGGCAGCUUACUGGACUGUAACUGACGUUGAGGCUCGAAAGCGUGGGGAGCGAACAGGAUUAGAUACCCCAGUAGUC